ensembl:lncRNA
GCUCUCUGCCUUUCUCUGUCUCCCAAUUUAUGUUUUCUCUUUAAUCAUCCCUUCCUUCUGAAGCUGUGACCCGCCCCCGCCAAAUGACAGGAUGACACACAAUUUGGGACUUGUGACGGGAGAAAGGUGGCCAUCUGCCAGGCCCCCAGGGAGGAAAAGAGGAAAAAGAGGGCUCCAACGUGAUCCUGGAAGUGCAGAUGAACUGCCAAGACCCCGGGGAGGCAGCAGGGGCAGUAUGCGGAGCCUCCCAAAGGUGUUCUGGUACAGGAAAGAGACUGAGUUACCUAGAGCGCCAGGAGAGAGAGGAGCUGGGAGCAGCUGGCAGAUGAAGCGGUUGCAGACAGAUUGGGGCGCCUGUGAUUUCACGCACUGGGGAGCGGAGAAGAGCUGCCGGGAGUCCCAGGGGGCCUUGCCCUCCCCUGUCUCCCCCUUCUCCCCACUGUCUCCGAGAGCUGGAGGGCGCUUCUGCACCUAGAGCAGAUGGGGCCAUCUGCAAGGGAAGUGUCCGUGGGGAAUUUGCCCCAUCAACCUCUCAGGGAUGAAAAUAAUACUUACUACUGUUGAUGGAACACCUACUGUUUACCAGGAAGACAUUUUUUUUCAUCCCUGUGGGCAUUAGCCAGAUUUUAUGGUUUGUGGAGAAAAGGAGUCUCAGAUGAGUUAAGGAACUUGUCUAGGAUCACACAGCACUGGUGUGACCGAGGUGGGAUUUGAAUUCAGGACUUGCCCUUCUGCCACUUGAUGCUGGUCCAUCCUUCAAUUUCACUCUUGGUUUUUGCUAGACUGGAGUCAGUUGUCAGCGUGUUCAUCUCUCCUUUGACACUGAGAGAAUUUGGCCCAUGACUCCAGGGCCAGUCCGGGGGCUGAACACAAGAAAAGCCACAGUGGAAGUUUGCUAAAAUGUACAAGGAUCCAUCUCACCUCAAAUGAGGAGGAAACAAUAGCCGGGGUCUGAUAUACAGGAGUAAAUAACCAAAGCUUUGAUCCAGACCUGUGGAUUCUGAAGAUCUAGAUUUCUCAAGACUGACUGGUAUAUAUCACAGAUCUCGAGAAGCUGGGAAAUCUGGACCCCACCUCUGGAGAUUCUGAUUUAAUUGGUCUAAAGUGGGGCCACAGCAGCAGCAUUUGAAAAAGCUACCCAGGUGACUCAGAUGUGUAGCCUGGGCUGAGAACCGCUGUCAGAUUCUACCCUGAUGUGGCU